rnacentral:misc_RNA from 1 species
GAAAGAACGAUAUCAACUUUCGACAAUACUAGAUACAUGCAGAAGCAGCAAGGCGAGGAACAUACACAAGCGGCUCAUGCACAUUCGAACGAUCCCGUGGUCUGCGUGCGUGAACAUAAAAAAAUCAUCUCGGCUGCUACAAAGCGAAGGUGUCGUAACACUGGGACAGAAUGUUUUACAACAGAAGGCGGGAGGUCAUAGCGUGAGGCGACGGGGGAC